rfam:Ornithorhynchus anatinus chromosome 1, whole genome shotgun sequence.
CACCUCUCAGCAUCGCUCCUUGAGAGUUUCCGGUACUCUACCAAUCUCGGCUACGAGAGGGAGAGUCAAGCAGAGGCACACCCAUUCCAUUCCUAGCUUGGCCAGCGGCUAGCAAGUGGAAGGCAAUCUGCUACAAGU